rnacentral:rRNA from 1 species
GACAGAGGGUGCAAACGUUGUUCGGAAUUACUGGGCGUAAAGCGCGUGUAGGCGGCCCUGCAAGUCGGAUGUGAAAUCCCACGGCUCAACCGUGGAAGUGCAUUCGAAACUGCAGGGCUAGAGUCCUGGAGAGGAAGGUGGAAUGCUUGGUGUAGAGGUGAAAUUCGUAGAUAUCAAGCGGAACACCGGUGGCGAAGGCGGCCUUCUGGACAGUGACUGACGCUGAGACGCGAAAGCGUGGGGAGCAACAGGGAUUAAGAAACCCGGG